AGCAGCCGCGGUAAUUCCAGCUCCAAUAGCGUAUAUUAAAGUUGUUGCAGUUAAAAAGCUCGUAGUUGAAUUUCGGGACCAAUCUGCCGGUCGUGCCUCCGGUACGCACUGGUUUUAUUGGUUUCUCCCUUCUGACGAACCAUGAUGUCAUUAAUUUGGUGUCAUGGGGAAUCAGGACUGUUACUUUGAAAAAAUUAGAGUGUUUAAAGCAGGCUCACGCUUGAAUACAUUAGCAUGGAAUAAUGAAAUAGGACGUUUGAUUCUAUUUUGUUGGUUUCUAGGAUCGACGUAAUGAUUAAUAGGGAUAGUUGGGGGCAUUAGUAUUCAAUUGUCAGAGGUGAAAUUCUUGGAUUUAUUGAAGACUAACUACUGCGAAAGCAUUUGCCAAGGAUGUUUUCAUUAAUCAAGAACGAAAGUUAGGGGAUCGAAGACGAUCAGAUACCGUCGUAGUCUUAACCAUAAACUAUGCCGACUAGGGAUCGGAUGAUGUUAAUUUUUUUCAAUGACUCAUUCGGCGCCU
rnacentral:rRNA from 1 species